rnacentral:misc_RNA from 1 species
UGGUUCUGGCAUCGAUGAAGAACGCAGCGAAAUGCGAUAAGUAGUGUGAAUUGCAGAAUUCAGUGAAUCAUCGAAUCUUUGAACGCAUAUUGCGCCCCUUGGUAUUCCAUGGGGCAUGCCUGUUCGAGCGUCAUUUGUACCUUCAAGCUCUGCUUGGUGUUGGGUGUUUGUCCACGUUUUUUUUUGUGCGUGGACUCGCCUUGAAUGCAUUGGCAGCCGGCAAUCUGGUGUUGGAGCGCAGCACAAUUUGCGCUUGAUACCAUGAUCGUUGGCGUCCAGUAAGCCUACACUUUUUAACGUUUGACCUCGGAUCAGGUAGGGAUACCCGCUGA